rnacentral:tRNA from 4 species
GCUCCCAUCGUCUAACGGUUAGGACAUCGGCUUUUCAAGCCGGUAAUCGGGGUUCGAUUCCCCGUGGGAGUACCA